UACGAAGGGUGCAAGCGUUACUCGGAAUUACUGGGCGUAAAGCGUGCGUAGGUGGUGAGUUAAGUCUGUCGUGAAAGCCCCGGGCUCAACCUGGGAAUGGCGAUGGAUACUGGCUCGCUAGAGUGCGGUAGAGGGGAGUGGAAUUCCCGGUGUAGAGGUGAAAUUCGUAGAUAUUGGGAAGAACACCGGUGGCGAAGGCGGCUAUCUGGCCCGUAAUUGACGCUGAGGCGCGAAAGCGUGGGGAGCAAACAGG
rnacentral:rRNA from 1 species